UGGGGGAUAUUGCACAAUGGGCGAAAGCCUGAUGCAGCGACGCCGCGUGGGGGAUGAAGGCUUUCGGGUUGUAAACCUCUUUCGCUAUCGAACAAGGCCCGCUUUGGGUGGGUUGAGGGUAGGUGGAGAAGAAGCGCCGGCUAACUACGUGCCAGCAGCCGCGGUAAUCCGUAGGGCGCGAGCGUUGUCCGGAAUGCUUGGGCGUAAAGGCCUUGUAGGCGGCUUGUUGCGCCUGCUGUGAAAACGCGGGGCUUAACUUCGCGCGUGCAGUGGGUACGGGAAGGCUUGAGUGUGGUAGGGGUGACUGGAAUUCCAGGUGUAGCGGUGGAAUGCGCAGAUAUCUGGAGGAACACCGAUGGCGAAGGCAGGUCACUGGGCCAUUACUGACGCUGAGGAGCGAAAGCAUGGGUAGCGAACAGG
rnacentral:rRNA from 1 species